rnacentral:tRNA from 1 species
UCCCUGGUAGCUCAGAGGUUAAAGCAUCUGCCUGCAAUGCAGAAGACCUGGGUUCGACCCCUGGAUCGGGAA